rnacentral:rRNA from 1 species
UACGAAGGGGGCUAGCGUUGCUCGGAAUCACUGGGCGUAAAGGGUGCGUAGGCGGGUUUUAAGUCAGGGGUGAAAUCCUGGAGCUCAACUCCAGAACUGCCUUGAUACUGAAGAUCUUGAGUCCGGGAGAGGUGAGUGGAACUGCGAGUGUAGAGGUGAAAUUCGUAGAUAUUCGCAAGAACACCAGUGGCGAAGGCGGCUCACUGGCCCGGUACUGACGCUGAGGCACGAAAGCGUGGGGAGCAAACAGG